GCGAGUUCAAAAAACUCCCAACCCGUGCAUACAUACCGCAUUUCUUGCGACCGUUGCCUCCUGGCGGGCGGCGCGCGCCUCCAGCUCCGGCUGGCGGCGCCCGCCCGCCGGGGGAUAGCGGCCGCUCUUUGAACCUCUGCGUACACUGAGCAGUCUGAGCAAAACCAUGAAUCGUUA
rnacentral:misc_RNA from 1 species